UGUAUACAUAAUAAAUAGAUCUUU
rnacentral:piRNA from 1 species